rnacentral:rRNA from 1 species
GACGAACGCUGGCGGCGUGCUUAACACAUGCAAGUCGAACGGAAAGGCCCUGCUUUUGUGGGGUGCUCGAGUGGCGAACGGGUGAGUAACACGUGAGUAACCUGCCCUUGACUUUGGGAUAACUUCAGGAAACUGGGGCUAAUACCGGAUAGGAGCUCCUGCUGCAUGGUGGGGGUUGGAUAGUUUCGGCGGUUGGGGAUGGACUCGCGGCUUAUCAGCUUGUUGGUGGGGUAGUGGCUUACCAAGGCUUUGACGGGUAGCCGGCCUGAGAGGGUGACCGGGCACAUUGGGACUGAGGUACGGCCCAGACGCCUACGGGAGGCAGCAGUGGGGAAUAUUACACAAUGGGGGGAAGCCUGAUGCAGAAACGCCGCGUGCGGGAUGACGGCCUUCGGGGUGUAAACCGAUUUCGCCUGUGACGAAGCGUGAGUGACGGUAAUGGGUAAAGAAGCACCGGCUAACUACGUG